rnacentral:rRNA from 1 species
UACAGAGGUCGCGAGCGUUAAUCGGAUUUACUGGGCGUAAAGCGUGUGUAGGUGGUUAUACAAGUCGGUUGUGAAAUCCCCGGGCUCAACCUGGGAACUGCUUCCGAGACUGCAUGACUAGAGAUCGGUAGAGGGCGGUGGAAUUUCCGGUGUAGCGGUGAAAUGCGUAGAUAUCGGAAGGAACACCAAUGGCGAAGGCAGCCGCCUGGGCCUGAUCUGACACUGAGACACGAAAGCGUGGGGAUCAAACAGGAGUUAG